UACGUAGGGUGCGAGCGUUAAUCGGAAUUACUGGGCGUAAAGCGUGCGCAGGCGGUUCGUUGUGUCGGCGGUGAAAGCCCCGGGCUUAACCUGGGAAUGGCCGUUGAAACUGGCGAACUGGAGUGUGGCAGAGGGGGGUGGAAUUCCGCGUGUAGCAGUGAAAUGCGUAGAGAUGUGGAGGAACACCGAUGGCGAAGGCAGCCCCCUGGGCCAAUACUGACGCUCAUGCACGAAAGCGUGGGGAGCAAACAGG
rnacentral:rRNA from 1 species